rnacentral:rRNA from 1 species
AUGAAGAUCCAGUGCGACUCGUGCGGCGUCGCGGCGGCCACGGUGGUGUGCUGCGCCGACGAGGCGGCGCUGUGCGCGCGCUGCGACGUGGACAUCCACGCCGCCAACAAGCUCGCCAGCAAGCACCAGAGGCUCCCGCUCGACGCGCUCGGCGCCAAGCUCCCGCGCUGCGACAUCUGCCAGGAGAAGGCCGCCUUCAUCUUCUGCGUCGAGGACAGGGCGCUCUUCUGCCGCGACUGCGACGAGCCCAUCCACGUCCCCGGCACGCUCUCCGGGAACCACCAGCGCUACCUCGCCACCGGCAUCCGCGUCGGCCUCGGCCCCGUCUCCGCCUGCGCCGCCGGGGACCACGGCGCCAGCCACGACGCCGACCACCCCGCCCCGCCCAAGCUCGCCUGCGAGCCCCAGCCGCCGGCCCAGCCCGCCGCCAGCGCGCAGCAGGUCCCCUCGCCGCCACAGUUCCUGCCGCAGGACUGGGGCGUCGACGAGCUCCUGCAGUUCUCGGACUACGAGUCCAGCGACAAGCUGCACAAGGACUCGGCUCUCGGCUUCAAGGAGCUGGAGUGGUUCACCGCGGACAUGGAGCUCUUCCACGAUCACGCGCCCAAGGGCGGCAGGGCGACCAUGGAGGUGCCCGAGUUCUUCGCCUCGCAGGCGGCAGACGACGCUGCCUACUACAGGCCGAGCAGAGUCGCCGCCACCGCCGGCUUGCGCCAGAGCAAGAAGGCCCGCGUCGAGAUCCCCGACGACGAGGACUUCUUCAUCGUGCCUGAUCUUGGCUAA